rfam:Desulfotomaculum acetoxidans DSM 771, complete genome.
ACUGUGGAGUGUUACAUCAAAUGCGAGUAGCUUUGUGGCAAAAGCAGACAUUAUGAAGCAGUAA